rnacentral:sRNA from 1 species
GAAUACCCUCGGCCACACCUGGCCUUCUCCAUGCUCAGAAUAACUUCCUGCAGCGACCAACAGGCUAAAGAGGGGGAAGUUCUGGAGGGAUCCAGCACCGGCUCCUCCUCCGGCAACCACGGUGGGAGCGGCGGAGGAAAUGGACAUAAACCCGGGGUGAGUGGCUGGCGUGAAUCUCCCACCAACCGCGGGAAGAAAAAGGAGAGCAGCUGGUUUCACUCGCAGGAUCGCGGAGAUGGGGCUGGAUGGCCGCGGAGGUGGAGCGGAAGCGGCUCGCCCCAGGGUUAAAAUGCUGCCAUUUUGGGGCUGGGACUGGUCUGGGAGGGGACUGAGGGAAAGUCUCCCCUUUCUCUCCCCGGCAGUGUGAAAAGCCAGGGAAUGAAGCCCGCGGGACCGGCGAAUCUGGGAUU